GUCCACGCCCUAAACGAUGUCUACUAGUUGUCGGGUUUUAAUUAACUUGGUAACGCAGCUAACGCGUGAAGUAGACCGCCUGGGGAGUACGGUCGCAAGAUUAAAACUCAAAGGAAUUGACGGGGACCCGCACAAGCGGUGGAUGAUGUGGAUUAAUUCGAUGCAACGCGAAAAACCUUACCUACCCUUGACAUGGACGGAAGCCCGGAGAGAUUUGGGCGUGCUCGAAAGAGAGCCGUCACACAGGUGCUGCAUGGCU
rnacentral:rRNA from 1 species